rnacentral:lncRNA from 1 species
CUCCUAGGGCAAACUAUUAUUAUAAUGAAUGAUUAUCAGAUGUUUCCUUUGUAAGAGGCUUAAACUUGGUGCUAUUGCUUUAUGCCUUUAGACAUCUGGUUUUAAUUCUAAAAUAUGAGUCAGCUGUAAUAUGAGCAUCUGUAUAAGUACAAACCAGAAUCUACUAGAUAUCAAGAACUGAAGAAAUUAGGGUCAGUGUGGGAUAACAUACUUGCUUCCUUCUCUGUGGGCAGAUCCAAAGCUAUGAGGGCAGUUAAAGUCCAAGCUGUCAUCAUGUCUGCUGUCUGGCG